rnacentral:rRNA from 1 species
AGUCGAGGGGCAGCAUUUUAGUUUGCUUGCAAACGUGAAGAUGGCGACCGGCGCACGGGUGAGUAACACGUAUCCAACCUGCCGAUAACUCCGGAAUAGCCUUUCGAAAGAAAGAUUAAUACCGGAUGGCAUACGAAUAUCGCAUGAUAUUUUUAUUAAAGAAUUUCGGUUAUCGAUGGGGAUGCGUUCCAUUAGUUUGUUGGCGGGGUAACGGCCCACCAAGACUACGAUGGAUAGGGGUUCUGAGAGGAAGGUCCCCCACAUUGGAACUGAGACACGGUCCAAACUCCUACGGGAGGCAGCAGUGAGGAAUAUUGGUCAAUGGGCGCGAGCCUGAACCAGCCAAGUAGCGUGAAGGAUGAAGGCUCUAUGGGUCGUAAACUUCUUUUAUAUGGGAAUAAAGUUUUCCACGUGUGGAAUUUUGUAUGUACCAUAUGAAUAAGGAUCGGCUAACUCCGUGCCAGCAGCCGCGGUAAUACGGAGGAUCCGAGCGUUAUCCGGAUUUAUUGGGUUUAAAGGGAGCGUAGGUGGAUUGUUAAGUCAGUUGUGAAAGUUUGCGGCUCAACCGUAAAAUUGCAGUUGAAACUGGCAGUCUUG